rnacentral:lncRNA from 1 species
GUUCACUUGUACUAUCUUCAUCAUGGGGUGUGUUUAUUUCCAGAAUCUUAUGAUAGGACAGCUUUUUUGACUACAUCCUGUCCCACUGACAACAUAGAAGCCAUCCUCCCAACUGCUUCCAGGAAUGAUCAGCAGAGCUGGUAUUCUGAGGUCAAUCUCAGUGUUCUCUGUAUCAUGACUGGAUUGCUGGGCGCUAAAUUCCUGACAGCACUCCUGAUCUUUAUCGUUGCCAGCAAAAGGAGAAGCAAAGCCACAGAGCAGGAGAACCAUGGCCAGCCGGAACAAACACUAGCUCCUCCCACUCACAGGACUAAAGCAAGGAAAGGAAAACACUAGUAAGACAAGGAUGUGAUGGAAGGAAGAGAAGUAGGCAAAGAAAAAGAAUUCCAAGAGUCUUUCCAGCCAAGCUCCCAACUCCCGCACUUAUACAUAUACAUGCAGAGAUACUCACACAGAUAUUGACACCUGCAGACACACACCUCCUUCGGAUGAGAAAGUUCUGCUCAGUUUUCCCAGUGCCUCCAGCCAUGACAGAUAAACCUUUGCUUGCUAAACCCUGUUUUACCUGCAAAGCUAAUAGAAAAUGUCUAGGUGCAAAAGGAACUAAAGAUACAGCAUUUGGCAGUGCACACACUUAAUUCCGGAGAGAGACUUGGAGUGUUGCUUCUGAGCCAUCAGGACCAAUGUCCAGGGGCCGCAAUGGGAUAUAUGCAUUACUCACACAUAGGAUGCUAAAAUAAAAGGCAUUGUUGGGCG